rnacentral:rRNA from 1 species
UACGGAGGGUGCAAGCGUUAUCCGGAUUCACUGGGUUUAAAGGGUGCGUAGGUGGGUUGGUAAGUCAGUGGUGAAAUCCCCGAGCUUAACUUGGGAACUGCCAUUGAUACUAUCAGUCUUGAAUAUUGUGGAGGUUAGCGGAAUAUGUCAUGUAGCGGUGAAAUGCUUAGAUAUGACAUAGAACACCAAUUGCGAAGGCAGCUGGCUACGCAUAUAUUGACACUGAGGCACGAAAAGCGUGGGGAUCAAACAGG